AGCGAACGCUAGCGGCGGGCCUAACACAUGCAAGUCGUACGAGGAGCUUCGGUUCUUCGUGGCGAACGGGUGAGUAACACGUAGGUUACGUGCCUCUUGGUGGGGAAUAACCCAGGGAAACUUGGGCUAAUUCCGCAUAUUGCCCUUCGGGGUGAAAGCCUUCGGGCGCCAGGAGAGCGGCCUGCGGCCCAUUAUUUAAUCCUUGUUGGUGAGGUAACGGCUCACCAAGGGUACGAUGGGUAGCUGGUCUGAGAGGACGACCAGCCACACUGGGACUGAGACACGGCCCAGACUCCUACGGGUGGCAG
rnacentral:rRNA from 1 species